rnacentral:tRNA from 1 species
CGGGACGUAGCUCAGCUUGGUAGAGCGCUUGGUUCGGGACCAAGAGGUCGCAGGUUCAAGUCCUGUCGUUCCGACCA